rnacentral:rRNA from 1 species
AUGUUCCUAUGGGGGGCAGCAGUGGGGAAUUUUGGACAAUGGGCGCAAGCCUGAUCCAGCUAUUCCGCGUGUGGGAUGACGGCCCUCGGGUUGUAAACCACUUUAGUAGAGAACGAAAAGGAGCUAUCGAAUAAAUAGCUCUGCUGACGGUACUCUAAGAAUAAGCACCGGCUAACUACGUGCCAGCAGCCGCGGUAAUACGUAGGGUGCGAGCGUUAAUCGGAAUUAUUGGGUUUAAAGGGUGCGUAGGCGGAAUAUCAAGUCAGCGGUAAAAAUUCGGGGCUCAACCCCGUCGUGCCGUUGAA